rnacentral:rRNA from 1 species
GUACCGUGAGGGAAAGGUGAAAAGUACCCCUGUGAGGGGAGUGAAAUAGAACCUGAAACCCUAUGCCUACAAGGUGUGAGAGCCGACUUGUUCGGUGAUCGCGUGCCUUUUGCUUAAUGAGUCUGCGAGUUACUUUCUGUGGCAAGCCUAAGAUCUUCUGGAUCGGAGGCGUAGCGAAAGCAAGUCCUAAUAGGGCGAUCAUAGUUGCAGGAGGUAGACCCGAAACGGAGGUGACCUACCCAUGGCCAGGUUGAAGCGUCGGUAAUACGACGUGGAGGACCGAACCGGUGUGUGUUGAAAAACGCUCGGAUGAGCUGUGGGUCGGAGUGAAAGGCUAUUCAAACCCCGUGAUAGCUGGUUCUCCUCGAAAUGCAUUUAGGUGCAGCGUUGCGUGUUGACCCGUGGGGGUAGAGCACUGAAAGGGCUAGGGGGCAUACCCGCCUACCAACCCCUAUCAAACUCCGAAUACCACGGGGUAGAGCGCAGCAGUGAGACAGUGGGGGAUAAGCUUCAUUGUCGAAAGGGAAACAGCCCAGAUCAGCAGCUAAGGUGCCUAAAUUAUACUAAGUGGAAAGGAGGUGGGGUUUCAUAGACAGUGAGGAUGUUGGCUUAGAAGCAGCCACCAUUUAAAAAAUGCGUAAUAGCUUACUCAUCGAGAGACCCUGCGCCGAAAAUAAUUGGCGAUAAGUAUAAUACCGAAGCUCUGGGCGUCAUAGUUUACUAUGGCGCGGUAGAGGAGCAUUCUCAGUGCAGUGAAGGGUGAUAGCGAUUGACCCUGGAGCGCUGAGAAGCGAGAAUGCAGACAUUAGUAACGAUAAGAGCGGUGAAAUCCCGCUCCGCCGUAAAUCCAAGGUUUCCCGGGCAACGUUUUUCGUCCCGGGGUUAGUCGGGACCUAACCCGAGGCCGAUAGGCGUAGGGGAUGGCAAGCAGGUUAAUAUUCCUGCACCCAGCUAGGAGGACGCAUGAUGAAAAGUAACUAAGUUAUUGAAUUCUGAGGUGAGGCUACGGCCGAUCCGUAUUACCAGACAGAGUGCCAAGAAAAGUCCUAGCAUUAAUGGCCCGUACCGUAAACCGACACAGGUGGAUGGGUAGAAUAUACCAAGGCGCAAGAGUGAACCCUGGUUAAGGAACUCGGCAAAAUAGCCCCGUAACUUCGGAAGAAGGGGUGCCCCCUUUUGGGGGGCCGCAGUGAAAUGGCCCAACCGACUGUUUAGCAAAAACACAGCAUUGUGCGAAGGCGUAAGCCGAAGUAUACGAUGUGACACGUGACCAAUGCCAAAAGAUUACGGUAAGGUGUUAGCUUUUAUUAGCAAAGCUCCGAGCCCAAGUCCUGGUGAAUGUCGGCCGUAACUAUAACGGUCCUAAGGUAGCGAAAUUCCUUGUCGGGUAAGUUCCGACCUGCACGAAUCGUGCAACGAGUUGGGCGCUGUCUCGACUAGAUGCUCAGUGAAAUUGUAGUGCCGGUGAAGAUGCCGGCUACCCGCGGAA